rnacentral:rRNA from 1 species
GACGGAGGGUGCUAGCGUUGUUCGGAAUUACUGGGCGUAAAGGGCGCGUAGGCGGCCCUCUAAGUCAGACGUGAAAUCCCUCGGCUCAACCGGGGAACUGCGUCUGAGACUGGAAGGCUUGAAUUCGGGAGAGGGAUGUGGAAUUCCAGGUGUAGCGGUGAAAUGCGUAGAUAUCUGGAGGAACACCGGUGGCGAAGGCGGCAUCCUGGACCGAUAUUGACGCUGAUGCGCGAAAGCCAGGGGAGCAAACGGG